rnacentral:rRNA from 1 species
CGGACGGGUGAGUAAUGUAUGGGGAUCUGCCUGAUGGCGGGGGAUAACUACUGGAAACGGUAGCUAAUACCGCAUAACGUCGCAAGACCAAGGAGGGGGACCUUCGGGCCUCUUGCCAUCGGAUGUGCCCAGAUGGGAUUAGCUAGUAGGUGGGGUAACGGCUCACCUAGGCGACGAUCCCUAGCUGGUCUGAGAGGAUGACCAGCCACACUGGAACUGAGACACGGUCCAG